rnacentral:rRNA from 1 species
GUCGAGAGGCUUCGGCAAUGGGGGAAACCCUGACCGAGCGACGCCGCGUGGGCGAUGAAGGCCUUCGGGUUGUAAAGCCCUGUCGUGCGGGAAGAAGGGUCCAACGGCAAACAGCCGAGGGACCUUGACGGUACCGCAAAAGGAAGCUCCGGCUAACUCCGUGCCAGCAGCCGCGGUAAUACGGGGGGAGCAAACGUUGUUCGGAAUCACUGGGCGUAAAGGGCGCGCAGGCGGCCUUGUAAGUGGGAUGUGAAAGGCCCUGGCUCAACCAGGGAUGUGCCUCCCAUACUGCUGGGCUUGAGUGCAGGAGAGGAUGGGGGAAUUCCCGGUGUAGCGGUGAAAUGCAUUGAUAUCGGGAGGAACACCAGUGGCGAAGGCGCCCAUCUGGCCUGCAACUGACGCUGAGGCGCGAAAGCUGGGGGAGCAAACAGGAUUAGAUACCCGAGUAGUCC